rnacentral:snRNA from 1 species
GAAUGUGAGGGUGACCUAGCUGUGAACCUGCCACACCAUUGAUUGCCAGGGCCCAUUAGACUGAUGUGGUGGCCCAGUGUCUCCUUUCUCCCUCACCUCUGUGUGCAUCAGGCUUUAAGCUGCAGGCUCUUACAGCAAGAAUGACUUUCCCUGAUAAAGAAGGAUUCCUCCACAGUAGG